UACGUAGGGUGCAAGCGUUAAUCGGAAUUGCUGGGCGUAAAGCGUGCGCAGGCGGUUGUGCAAGACCGAUGUGAAAUCCCCGGGCUUAACCUGGGAAUGGCAUUGGUGACUGCACGGCUAGAGUGUGUCAGAGGGGGGUAGAAUUCCACGUGUAGCAGUGAAAUGCGUAGAGAUGUGGAGGAAUACCGAUGGCGAAGGCAGCCCCCUGGGAUAACACUGACGCUCAUGCACGAAAGCGUGGGGAGCAAACAGG
rnacentral:rRNA from 1 species